rnacentral:rRNA from 1 species
UGGGGAAUAUUGCACAAUGGGCGGAAGCCUGAUGCAGCAACGCCGCGUGAGUGAUGAAGGCCUUCGGGUUGUAAAGCUCUGUCUUUUGGGACGAUAAUGGACGGUACCAAGGAGGAAGCCACGGCUAACUACGUGCCAGCAGCCGCGGUAAUACGUAGGUGGCAAGCGUUGUCCGGAUUUACGGGCGUAAAGGAUGCGUAGGCGGAUUUUUAAGUGAGAUGUGAAAUACCCGGGCUUAACUUGGGUGCUGCAUUUCAAACUGGGAAUCUAGAGUGCGGGAGAGGAAAUGGAAUUCCUAGGUGUAGCGGUGAAAGUGCGUAGAGAUUAGGAAGAACACCAGUGGCGAAGGCGAUUCUCUGGCACCGUCAACUGACGCUGAGGCAUGAAAGCGUGGGUA